rnacentral:rRNA from 1 species
UACGUAGGCAGCAAGCGUUGUUCGGAGUUACUGGGCGUAAAGGGUGUGUAGGCGGUUCUUUAAGUUUGGUGUGAAAUCUCCCGGCUCAACCGGGAGGGUGCGCCGAAUACUGAGGGACUCGAGUGCGGGAGAGGAAAGUGGAAUUCCUGGUGUAGCGGUGAAAUGCGUAGAUAUCAGGAGGAACACCGGUGGUGUAGACGGCUUUCUGGACCGUAACUGACGCUGAGGCACGAAAGCGUGGGUAGCAAACAGG